rnacentral:rRNA from 1 species
GAGGCCUACGGGGCGCAGCAGUGGGGAAUAUUGGGCAAUGGGCGCAAGCCUGACCCAGCAACGCCACGUGAAGGAAGAAGGCUUUCGGGUUGUAAACUUCUUUUCUGAGGGACGAAGAAAGUGACGGUACCUCAGGAAUAAGCCACGGCUAACUACGUGCCAGCAGCCGCGGUAAUACGUAGGGGGCAAGCGUUAUCCGGAUUUAUUGGGUGAAACGGGCGUGUAGGCGGGAAAGCAAGUCAGUUGUGAAAACU